GAUUAACGCUGGCGGCGUGCAUAACACAUGCAAGUCGAACGAUGAAACUUAGUAGACUUCUUCGGAAAGACACUAAGCGGAUUAGUGGCGAACGGGUGAUUAACGCGUGAGUAACCUGCCUUACACAAGGGGAUAGCCUUUGGAAACGAAGAAUAAUACCCUAUAAAACCAUAAAAGCACAUGCUAGAAUGGUCAAAGUGAUAGCGGUGUAAGAUGGACUUGCGUCUGAUUAGCUAGUUGGUGAGAUAAAAGCUCACCAAGGCAACGAUCAGUAGCCGGCUUGAGAGAGUGUACGGCCACAUUGGGACUGAGACACGGCCCAGACUCCUACGGGAGGCAGCAGUGGGGAAUUUUGCACAAUGGGGGAAACCCUGAUGCAGCGACGCCGCGUGAUUUAGAAGGCCUUCGGGUUGUAAAAAUCUUUUGUAUAGGAAGAAAAUGACAGUACUAUACGAAUAAGGUCCGGCUAAUCACGUG
rnacentral:rRNA from 1 species